rnacentral:misc_RNA from 1 species
UUGACAUUAUUUUUUCUUUUUUAGAUCAUGAACAUUACCAAAAAUAUAAAUUUAAUUGUAAAUAAAAUAUCUAUAAUCAAAAAUAAGUUAUUUUCUCCUAAACAUUUACUUUAUACUAAUGUCACAAUAUCUAUUUCUCUCUCUGCUAUUGGAGAUGUAUUAGAACAAUAUUAUGAGAUAUUAAAAGGUGAAUGGGAUAAAUGGAGUAUAAAUAGAACAAAAAACAUGGCUAUAUCUGAUGGAUUCUUGACAUAAACCCUAUUUUGGAAGAUAACUUUCAGUUUUAAUCUAUAGCCAGAAUGCAAGGUAAAACAAAUUUGACUAAUUAUAAAAACAUAUAUUUCAAAACAUUCCAUCAUGAAUGCCAAUUGGUACAAGAACUGCAAUAAAUAAUAAUAAAUUGCGAGCCACUAGUCUCCAAUCAUUUGGUACUGCAUAUGGUGCUAAUACUUGAGUUAAUCUAUGUAUCUAUCAAAAUAAAUGAAAUACUUCAUACUA